rnacentral:rRNA from 1 species
AGAGUUUGAUCCUGGCUCAGGACGAACGCUGGCGGCACGCUUAACACAUGCAAGUCGAACGAGAGAAGAGAAGCUUGCUUUUCUGAUCUAGUGGCGGACGGGUGAGUAACACGUGAGCAAUCUGCCUUUCAGAGGGGGAUACCGAUUGGAAACGAUCGUUAAUACCGCAUAACAUAAUUGAACCGCAUGAUUUGAUUAUCAAAGAUUUAUCGCUGAAAGAUGAGCUCGCGUCUGAUUAGCUAGUUGGUAAGGUAACGGCUUACCAAGGCGACGAUCAGUAGCCGACCUGAGAGGGUGACCGGCCACAUUGGGACUGAGACACGGCCCAGACUCCUACGGGAGGCAGCAGUGGGGAAUAUUGCACAAUGGAGGAAACUCUGAUGCAGCGAUGCCGCGUGAGGGAAGAAGGUUUUAGGAUUGUAAACCUCUGUCUUUGGGGACGAAAAAUGACGGUACCCAAGGAGGAAGCUCCGGCUAACUACGUGCCAGCAGCCGCGGUAAUACGUAGGGAGCGAGCGUUGUCCGGAAUUACUGGGUGUAAAGGGAGCGUAGGCGGGAUCGCAAGUCAGAUGUGAAAACUAUGGGCUUAACCCAUAAACUGCAUUUGAAACUGUGGUUCUUGAGUGAAGUAGAGGUAAGCGGAAUUCCUAGUGUAGCGGUGAAAUGCGUAGAUAUUAGGAGGAACACCAGUGGCGAAGGCGGCUUACUGGACGAUUACUGACGCUGAGGCUCGAAAGCGUGGGGAGCAAACAGGAUUAGAUACCCUGGUAGUCCACGCCGUAAACGAUGAUUACUAGGUGUGGGGGGACUGACCCCUUCCGUGCCGCAGCAAACGCAAUAAGUAAUCCACCUGGGGAGUACGACCGCAAGGUUGAAACUCAAAGGAAUUGACGGGGGCCCGCACAAGCAGUGGAGUAUGUGGUUUAAUUCGACGCAACGCGAAGAACCUUACCAAGUCUUGACAUCCUGCGACGGUGCUGGAAACAGUACUUUCCUUCGGGACGCAGAGACAGGUGGUGCAUGGUUGUCGUCAGCUCGUGUCGUGAGAUGUUGGGUUAAGU